rnacentral:rRNA from 1 species
GACGAACGCUGGCGGCGUGCCUAAUACAUGCAAGUCGAGCGAAUCAAUAGGAGCUUGCUCCUGUUGGUUAGCGGCGGACGGGUGAGUAACACGUGGGCAACCUGCCUGUAAGACUGGGAUAACACCGGGAAACCGGUGCUAAUACCAGAUAAUCCUUUUCCUCUCAUGAGGAAAAGCUGAAAGUCGGUUUCGGCUGACACUUACAGAUGGGCCCGCGGCGCAUUAGCUAGUUGGUGAGGUAACGGCUCACCAAGGCGACGAUGCGUAGCCGACCUGAGAGGGUGAUCGGCCACACUGGGACUGAGACACGGCCCAGACUCCUACGGGAGGCAGCAGUAGGGAAUCUUCCACAAUGGACGAAAGUCUGAUGGAGCAACGCCGCGUGAGCGAUGAAGGCCUUCGGGUCGUAAAGCUCUGUUGUUAGGGAAGAACAAGUAUCGGAGUAACUGCCGAUACCUUGACGGUACCUAACUAGAAAGCCACGGCUAACUACGUGCCAGCCGCCGCAGUAAGAC